GGGAAUGUAGCUCAGUGGUAGAGGAUGUGCUUAGCAGGUAGAAGGCCCUUGGUUCCAUCCCUAGCACUGCCA
rnacentral:tRNA from 1 species